CUCCAACCCUACCCCGUGCUCUACCUCACGAAAGCUGCCCAGGUACGCCCCGCAACCAUAAACGCGACGCCCAGAGAAGAUGUGAGUGCGUUAAUGCCUAGGCUCGUACGCUACGAGCAUCUACAUAUCUACUGAUACACCCCGGACCUUUCUCGGCCGUCUCACUUCAUCCCAUCCACCUGCAGCCGGCGUAAGCUUCCAUGGAGCCGCCACUUUCUCCGCUGGGCGCCGGCGCUGUCUGCUGCAUGUGCGGCGAUCGCGGCCUGCCGCACGAGCUGCUCCGCUGCAAGCUCUGCCGCGUCCGCCUGCAGCACAGAUACUGCAGCGAUCUGUAUCCGAGGGCCACGGCGUACAGGAGGUGCAACUGGUGCCUGAGGGAGCCCGCAGAAGCCCAUGCCCAACCCCACGCUCAGCCGGUGAAAAACAAGAAGGCGGAGAAACGGAAGAUGGUGGCAUCAACGGAGACGUCCGCCUCCGGCGAGGAGGAGCGGCGGCAGCACGAGGCCGGAUGCACCACUGCUACGAGGUCGAGGAGAUCGGCUGCGGAGGUUGGUAAGCCGGUCAAGAAGCCCAAGGUCGACGAGAGGCCACCGCUGCCCCCGUCGCCAGGCACGGCAGCGAAGGGGAACAGCGGUGACACGAAGCCCAAGGUCGACGAGAGGCCACCGCUGCCCCCGUCGCCGGGCACGGCGGCGAAAGGAAACAGCGGCGACAAGAAGCCUAAGGUCGACGAGUGGCCGGUGCUGCCCCCGUCGCCGGGCGUGGCGGCGAAGGGGAACAGCGGUGACAAGAAGCCCAAGGUCGACAAGAGGCCAGCGCUGCCUCCGUCGCCGGGCACGGCGGCGAAGGGGAACAACGGCGACAAGAAGCCUAAGGUCGACGAGUGGACGGCGCUGCCCCCGUCGCCGGGCACGGCGGCGAAGGGGAGCAGCGGCGACAAGAAGCCGAUGCAGGCGGGGAAGCUGGCGCGGCCGGGUAGGGUCAAGGUGAGGAGGUACAAGCUCCUGGCAGAGGUGAUUAGCUGCUAGCUAGGAUCACGGAAUCAAAAGGGGAAGUAGCUGGCAACUAGCCAAAUAGCUAGCCACCGUCGACAUUGUAUGUAAAUAUCGUUUGCCCGUCGUGUACGGGUUUUUCGUCUCUUUUUGGGGAGAGAGUCGACUACCGUGCUAGUGCUGUACAAAUCUUAAGCCGUCAGUUUUUUAUACCAGUUGACGUGCAUAGAUGGUGCGGUUUGACUUUACGUCGGGGCGGCGAUGAGCUGGUGCGACUGCUUUAGUAUGCAUAUUGCAUACGGUUGCUCCGUGAAGCAUAGACUGGAGGUGGUAGUGAGCGGUGGUAUGUCGGGGCGAUGGCCUGCUUCCAGAGACGAGUCAAUGCAAUAGUCAUGGUCUGCGAACGGUUACCCUUCGCAACCUAGACUAUAGGUGGUUAGGCCGUGCGGCACUGUAACUUGAGAGUGCGUGGUGGUAUGUCGGAGCAGUGGCCCUAGAAAGUGAGGUCGGUAAGCCGGGCAAGAAGCCCAAGGUCGAGGAGAAGUCAGCGCUGCCCCUGUCGCUGGGGAUGGCAGUGAAGGGGAACAACAACGACAAGAAGCCGAUGCAAGCGAUAAAGUUGGCACGACCAGGUAGGGUCAAGGUGAGGAGGUGCAAGCUCCUUGGAGGUGUGAGAAUAAAAGGGGAAGCAGCUAGCCACCAUCGACACAUGUCGAUGAAUGUAUAUAUUGUUUACCCGCCAUAUACAAGUUUUUCCUUCGUUCUUUUUUUUGAGAGAGAGAGAGUCGACUAGGUGCUAGUGAUGUACUUCCUUCGUCCAGGAAUACUUGUCGGAGAAAUGGAUGUAUCUAGGCGUAUUUUAGUUUUAGAUAGAUUCAUUUUUAUUCAUUUCUCCGACAAGUAUUUUCAGACGGAGGAAGUACAAAUCUAGGAGUUUCGUGUAAAUUGAGCCAUUUUGUACUUUUAUACAUCAUGGGUUCGUGUGCCAGUAUUUCCCCACACACACAGAGCGCGCGCGCGAGAGAGAGAGAGAGAGAGAGAGAGAGAGAGAGAGAGAGAGAGAGAGAGAGAGAGAGAGAGAGAGAGAGAGAUUUGACUUUUAGGGGUGGCAGCCGAUCACCGUAGUCUACGGACGGUUGCCCCAUGAAGCAUAGGUUGUAGGUGGUAGCGGCUGGUGGUAUGUCAAUGGUGAACCUGGAAGGUGGUGUUGGUCGACC
rnacentral:rRNA from 1 species